GCAUAUCAAUAAGCGGAGGAAAAGAAACUAACAAGGAUUCCCCUAGUAACGGCGAGUGAAGCGGGAAGAGCUCAAAUUUGAAAUCUGGUGGCCUCAGGUCAUCCGAGUUGUAAUCUAUAGAAGUGUUUUCCGUGCUGGCUCAUGUACAAGUCCCUUGGAACAGGGCGUCAUAGAGGGUGAGAAUCCCGUCCUUGACAUGAACUACCAGUGCUCUGUGAUACAUUUUCAACGAGUCGAGUUGUUUGGGAAUGCAGCUCAAAAUGGGUGGUAAAUUCCAUCUAAAGCUAAAUAUUGGCGAGAGACCGAUAGCGAACAAGUACCGUGAGGGAAAGAUGAAAAGCACUUUGGAAAGAGAGUUAAACAGUAUGUGAAAUUGUUGAAAGGGAAGCGAUUGAAGUCAGUCGUGCUCUUUGGAUUCAGCCGGUUCUGCCGGUGUACUUCCUUUGAGUGGGGUCAACAUCAGUUUUGAUCGCUGGAUAAAGGCAGGAGGAACGUAGUACCCUCGGGUAAACUUAUAGCCUCUUGUCACAUACAGUGGUUGGGACUGAGGAACGCAGCACGCCUCUAUGGCCGGGAUUCGUCCACGUACGUGCUUAGGAUGUUGACAUAAUGGCUUUAAACGACCCGUCUUGAAACACGGACC
rnacentral:rRNA from 1 species